AUGGGAAACACAGUAGUCUGGACUUUGCUUUUUGUUGUCACUGUACAGGGCAUUUAUGGACAGACUUUGACUGAGUCUGAACCUGUGGUUAAAAGGCCUGAAGAUUCCCACAGGCUGACCUGUACAGCCUCUGGAUUCACAUUCAGCAGCUCCUGGAUGGGCUGGAUCAGACAGGCUCCUGGAAAAGGACUGGAGUGGGUUGCCACUAUCAGAUAUGACAGUGGUGAAAUCUAUUACUCUCAGUCAGUCAGAGGCCGGUUUACCAUCUCCAGAGACAACAACAGACAGCAGGUGUAUCUGCAGAUGAACAGUCUGAAGACUGAAGAUUCUGUUGUU